GCCUUUUGUUUGUAGGAGUGCUGUGCUACACAAUUUUGGGAGACCAGUUGCUACCACUGUGCACUCACACGUGUCGACACAGAAUGGAGUGUUUGGUGGGAGGGGUGUCCCUCACCUCUUCUCCCUUCUGAGCAGGCAUGUAAUAUCUGGCUAUUUUCAGUAAUGUUGGUACAGAUAUGCUUUUCACAGCUUUUCCUAACUCAGCAAAUGCCUUCAUUUAAAAAGGGAAGAUUCUAGCUUUUUUGUAAGCAGGCACUCCUAACAGCUUGUGAUGACUUUCCUGAUGACCCCAAAGCUAUGCAAAAUGUCCUGUCUGAAGCGAGCAGACCAAAAAUACAUUUGUGACUGAGCAUAAGUGCCAUAACGAGAUGAGUUAAGAUCACCAGCAUUUAGAGAGAAAUGAUGUAGGACUUUGGGUCCUUGGCAAAGAUAAGAGGUCAGAAAGCAGAAGAAUACACAAAGAACAUAUCUAUGAAACUUCAGGAGGAGCAUUAUUGCAUCUCCAAAUGAUAUGAGUUUUGACAAAAAGCAAGAAAAAUGGAGCCAUUCAGUUUUAUAAUCUCCAUCUUUGGCAAUAAAGUGACAAUUAACCCUGCACAGUUGCCAAGUUACUCGGAUUGGUUUAUCACACUCUGCGUUUUCUCUUUUUUAUAUAUAUUUACUUUCUUCCUUUGUAGUUCCGAAUGCCAGCAAUGCAUUCUGCUCUAGUAUCCUUCAAAUACCUGGAAAUAUCCUUAAAUUGAGGAGGUAAUGUACAAUUACCAUGGAAAGAAUUACACACUUUCUUCUUCUGGAAAUAUCAAUGUGAGGGAUUAAGAAGCAUCUCUAAGGUCCCCUUAUCCAGGUUUUUCUGUUAUUUAGCUUCUGUCAAGCCUUAAAAUUUCAACACCACAAUAUUCAAAAUUGUUAGCAUUUUCUUCCUUUUCCCUGCUUGGCUGAGCCGUGACUUGUUUUCUCUGAGUUUGCUCUGAAUUCUCUAUGGUAAAAGGCAUCAGCGUGGCCACAUGCAAGACCUGCCCAGCACUAUCCCGGCAGCCACCAGCAGGUAGGCAGGGCAGGAGGCAGACAGACCAGUAGACUGCUCCUAUCCAAUAGACCUAACCAUGGACACCAGAAUACUUGUGUAAACCAUAUUUGUGUCAGAAACUUCUUGGCAGCGACCACUCCAACCAGUUACAACUGUUUGGAUUUGCUGUGCCUCUUAUGCAUAGCAUAAGAGAGCUCACAGAUUGUGAAGUCUCUCGUGGGUCGGCUUUGGCCACUGGUGGGUCCCUAUAAACCCAAGACAAUUGCAUGAAUUUUAAGCCAGUGUGUUGUGAGGUGGGGCCCAGGUUUUCUUCUCUUCCAAUCAAUGUUCUCUCCAUGGAUUCAGUAAACAAGAAGAUCGAUUUUUAAAGUAGCCAUUUAUUUUACAACAGCAUAAAAUAAUAAAAAGAGAAAAUAUUAGCACAGUUAUAUAGCCAGUAUGUUUUGGCAGAUAGAGCUAAACUAAAUAAAGCAAUAACAUUUAAAAAACAAUUCAUUACCGAUAAAGUAUACUGACAACAGAUCUUAAAACAAGAAUGAUACUAAGAGCAUGCUUUGUGCCCACCUCAGUGCCAGCGUAGGUGGAGAUCUUGAUUUUUAAGGAUAGGAUGUUGCAUGUUACACAUAGGUAUCUGCUACUUGAACAGGCAGAAGCUACAGCUCCAUGUUAGAGGCCUGGCUGUUGUUUCUAGAGCAGGCUCCUUCAUGGUAGUUCUGGGGAAUGGCAUGGAUGGCACACUGCUCACUCAGACACUGCUGGUCUCUUGUAAGAGCCAAGAGGUAGAUGAUAGCAAUUCCUCUUCCCUUGCAGAUUUUUUCUCUGCACUUGCAUCCCUUCCUUCUGGAAGAGCAAUCUCAGAGACACCCUUUGCUUAUCUCAGGAUCCUACAGGGAGCAGCCUCAUUUCUUCCACAACCCCAUGACAGUUUCCUAAGCUAUUGCGUAUAGAGCUCCAAUCCUCUAAUUAGAGAAGCAGCAUACGCUGGGGCACUCAAUCCAUGUGAGUUAGCAGUGUCAGCAACCUGUCAGGCCCUUUAGCACACCCUCCUACCCUUCCUAGAGUCCUGACUGCUUGGGCUCCAGGCCAGCUGAGAUACUGUUUGCAGGUGUCAUAUCUUGAAUCAGAGGUGCUUCAGAAAACUGUGAGAAGCCUUGGUGGCAAUGGCUGCACUCCUCAGGAGGUUCUUUUAAGAAGAGUACUGCACCUGUGCUCUCUGCUGGAGCUCCAUUCCACCUAAAUUGCAGCCAUGUCCACACCAGUGCCAUUGCUCCAAGCUAGUCCUCAACUGUUGAUGGACUCAUGUCAGAAAAUGAAAGAGGCAUACACAGUCUAUUCUGAAAGUCCUGGCUCUGAAAACGAAGCACCAUAUGUUCAAGCAGCAGGAGCAAAAGAAUGAGCUCAAGGCAAAGUGAGUAGACAGCAGAAGGGCAAGGAGCUGCACAGCAAAGAAACCAGGACAUGGUGCUUCAUCCUUCCCUGUCUCUCUUUAUGAUGCAAUAAGUGGAUAGCAGUAUCGGCAACAAGGCUCAGGAUAAGGAGAUGAGUUCUUGUGCACGUGCCAUUGUCACCAGCACAGGGGACAUCAUGCAAACUGUGAUGCCACGAUCACUGACCCUUAAGGCACAAAGUUACCUGCAUCGCUGGCCAUUCACACAGAUGAAAACAAGCCUUAUGACUGUACAUACUCAGACUUUUAAUUAACAUAGGAUCAGCUGUAGCUUUCCUUUUCUAAGGACAGUCAAAACUGGUGAUGCUUUGUAACUAUUGAUUGCCCUUGGAAUAUAUGGUUGUUUUCCACAUUUGUCCUGAAUGGUGCAUAUUUGUUCGUUUCUUUUUUUACUGGUAACCAAGAGAAAUAUACCUCUCUUUAGAGAUCAAGGGCUUUUUGACUCAUUUGAAAGAAUUCUUAAUGAUUGAAAAGUCAUUUAGAUUCAAUACCAAAUCUCAUGAUAAAAAAGAGACCGCAUAAAUCCAAGCAUUACAAUGCGCUGUGCGAACAAUCUCCAAAGACCUCUCUGUGCUGUCCAGAUUCUCCUGCGGCUCUUGACCUGGAGUUCAAGGGUUGAAGAUCAGCACCUAAACAUCCUGUGUCUCACUGCCAGCCUACAUGGAUGAGGGAAGCAGUGUGCUCUCAGUCCAUGGGAGUCUGUACGCAUCUUGAUGACACUUGCAUGGUUGUGUCUCCAGGAAAAGACCCACGUGGUACUUCUCAACCCAUAAGCCACCUUUGGGAAGUGCACCACAUAGCAGCUGCCCAACAUACACAGGUGAAGAAGCCACACAGACUGCACGACUUACACAAGGCCAAGCUGUAGUUAUAUACUGGAUUUCAUUAGGCUCUGGUGGCUUCAGAAGCACAGGAAGGACCUCUGAAGCACUUAGGAACUGCUGACAGGAUAUUAGCCCUGUGCAGAAGGAAGACAAAAGAGAUACACAGUGGCAGUGCCAUUUCUGUGAAGAGGUUGUGCUCAGAUAACAUCAUUCUACCCCGUAGAGAAUCACACGAGAGGUUUGAUUGCGCAGAAACGCUGUCCAAAGACUCCUUCUUCAGUGUUUGAUGCAAUAAGGACAGUCACUGCUGCUGCUGCCACCUUGGGUAUUUAAACCAAGGGAAAAUCCAGCUUGCGGGGAUAUGUUCACCUGGAUUUCUACCGCAGCUGCCCCAUUCAGAGACACAACAGAGAAGCAGAGGAUGAUUAUCACAGGGCAUCUACUCAUUCUGCUAGUCUCAACAGUUUUCUCCCUGUUGAUCAGUGGAGAAAGAUCAGUGGAGAAAGAGAUCCAUCCCUGGAGGGUAAUUGAGAUGCUCAGCAGCCUCUUUUCAUUGACUAGAGUUGGGGUACUUUGGUGCCGCAGUCAGUAGCAUGGAGCUAUGUAGGAUGAAACUAGGUUUAUAGGCAGAGACAUCAGUAGUUAUGUAGAUUAUAAGUCAUGAUUAUGAGUGAAAUCUGCUAUUCAUAAUUGUGAAAAUGCUAAUAACCAAGGGGUAAAUGCUAAUAACCAAGGCACAAAUGCUAAUAAGCAAGGUAAGAUUGAAACCUCCCAAAACACAGCCAUAAUGUACACCUGCUUUAUAGUUGCACACAAUGUUUAAAUAAAAAGACGAUGUAUGG
rnacentral:lncRNA from 7 species